AGCUCAGUUGGUAGAGUACUUGCCUUGCAUGCACAAGGCCCUGGGUUCUAAUCCCAG
rnacentral:tRNA from 1 species